GUGGGGAAUAUUGCGCAAUGGGCGAAAGCCUGACGCAGCGACGCCGCGUGAGGGAUGAAGGUUUUCGGAUCGUAAACCUCUGUCAGAAGGGAAGAAACUACAUUGUGCUAAUCAGCAGUGUACUGACGGUACCUUCAAAGGAAGCACCGGCUAACUCCGUGCCAGCAGCCGCGGUAAUACUGAGGGUGCAAGCGUUAAUCGGAAUUACUGGGCGUAAAGCGCACGUAGGCUGUAGUGUAAGUCAGGGGUGAAAUCCCACGGCUCAACCGUGGAACUGCCUUGGAUACUGCACAACUUGAAUCCGGGAGAGGGUGGCGGAAUUCCAGGUGUAGGAGUGAAAUCCGUAGAUAUCUGGAGGAACAUCAGUGGCGAAGGCGGCCACCUGGACCGGUAUUGACGCUGAGGUGCGAAAGCGUGGGGAGCAAACAGGAUUAGAUACCCGUGUAGUCC
rnacentral:rRNA from 1 species